GACGAACGCUGGCGGCGUGCUUAACACAUGCAAGUCGAACGGAGAGGCCCUGCCUUUGUGGGGUGCUCGAGUGGCGAACGGGUGAGUAACACGUGAGUAACCUGCCCUUGACUUUGGGAUAACUUCAGGAAACUGGGGCUCAUACCGGAUAGGAGCUCCUGCUGCAUGGUGGGGGUUGGAAAGUUACGGCGGUCGGGGAUGGACUCGCGGCGUGUCAGCUUGUUGGUGGGGUAGUGGCUUACCAAGGCUUUGACGGGUAGCCGGCCUGAGAGGGUGACAGGCCACAUUAGGACGGGGAUGAGACCCAGACUCGUACGGGACGCAGCAGUGGGGAAGAUUGUACAAUGGGCGGAAGCCUGAUGCAGCAACGCCGCGUGCGGGAUGACGGCCUUCGGGUUGUAAAGCGCUGUCGCCUGUGACGAAGCGUGAGUGACGGUAAUUGGUAAAGAAGCACCGGCUAACUACGUG
rnacentral:rRNA from 1 species